rnacentral:rRNA from 1 species
CGAAAUUCCUUGUCGGGUAAGUUCCGACCUGCACGAAUGGCGUAACGACUUCCCCGCUGUCUCCAACAUAGACUCAGCGAAAUUGAAUUCUGAGUUAAGAUGCUCAGUACCCGCGGUAAGACGGAAAGACCCCGUGAACCUUUACUAUAGCUUGACACUGAACAUUGAGCCUUGAUGUGUAGGAUAGGUGGGAGGCUUUGAAGUGUGGACGCCAGUCUGCAUGGAGCCGACCUUGAAAUACCACCCUUUAAUGUUUGAUGUUCUAACGUUGGCCCGUAAUCCGGGUUGCGGACAGUGUCUGGUGGGUAGUUUGACUGGGGCGGUCUCCUCCUAAAGAGUAACGGAGGAGCACGAAGGUUGGCUAAUCCUGGUCGGACAUCAGGAGGUUAGUGCAAUGGCAUAAGCCAGCUUGACUGCGAGCGUGACGGCGCGAGCAGGUGCGAAAGCAGGUCAUAGUGAUCCGGUGGUUCUGAAUGGAAGGGCCAUCGCUCAACGGAUAAAAGGUACUCCGGGGAUAACAGGCUGAUACCGCCCAAGAGUUCAUAUCGACGGCGGUGUUUGGCACCUCGAUGUCGGCUCAUCACAUCCUGGGGCUGAAGUAGGUCCCAAGGGUAUGGCUGUUCGCCAUUUAAAGUGGUACGCGAGCUGGGUUUAGAACGUCGUGAGACAGUUCGGUCCCUAUCUGCCGUGGGCGCUGGAGAACUGAGGGGGGCUGCUCCUAGUACGAGAGGACCGGAGUGGACGCAUCACUGGUGUUCGGGUUGUCAUGCCAAUGGCACUGCCCGGUAGCUAAAUGCGGAAGAGAUAAGUGCUGAAAGCAUCUAAGCACGAAACUUGCCCCGAGAUGAGUUCUCCCUGAGACUUAGAGUCUCCUGAAGGAACGUUGAAGACGACGACGUUGAUAGGCCGGGUGUGUAAGCGCAGCGAUGCGUUGAGCUAACCGGUACUAAUGAACCGUGAGGCUUAACCUU